UCUUUCAUAAUCAAAAAGUGGACAGCGAGGGAUAUAGUGAAAAACAUCACCAAUAUCACAGUGUGCAAAAUGAACAUUUAUUUAACCGCACGGUAUUUUUGAAAUUGGGCAUGACCCAGUUUCAAUAGGGAGCCCGUUAUUUUCUGAUCUUAAAUGGAAUAGAUUUAAACGAAUUGUAUAUAUCAGAAUUUAAAAUGAAGUUACUUAUUGCUGUUUGCUGCUUAUUGUGUAAAGUCCAAGUGAAGGCGCGUGAUGGACGUCCACCCCAGAUUUAUGUACCACAAGGAAAUAAAUGGUCUCAGACAAAAGUGUAUGUAAGAAAGGCAAGUCCUAAUACGUUUGAACC